GAGGCGAAGGAGGAGAAGUAGGAGGAGAAGGAAGAAGAGAAGGAAGAGGAGGAGGAAGGAGAAAGAAGGAGGAGGAAGAGAAGGCAGAGGAGGAGGAGGAGGAGGAUUAGGAGGAGGAGCAGGAAAGGGUCUUUUCAGGCCCCUAGCUGCAGGCUCAGCCCUGUCCCUGAGCUGGCAUCGAGGGCUGGCGAGCUGUGGUCUCCUCACAGCUAGGGUCAGGGAGCGUGCUGGCCUGUCGCUGUAAGAUCCCACACAGUCGCCGUGUGUAUCCUGGGACCUGACCCCUGCAGAAGCUUUUCCGUUUCCCGAGGUCCCGCUUAUUCAUUGUCGCCCUCAGAGCCUGGGCGGUCGGUGUUCUUCUGCUCAGGAAGUUGGCUCCCGUGCCAGGAGCUCAAGGCUCUUCCCCACUUCUUCUUCUUCUACCGGGUUAAUGUGUCUGGUUUGAUGCUGAGGUCCUUGACCCCCUUGGACCCUGGUUCUGUGCAGGGUGAUGACUAUGGAUCUAUUUGCAUGUUCCUCCACGGAGACAUCCAGUUGGACCAGCGUUUGUGGAAGACUCUGUCUUUCUUCCAUUGAGUGGUUUUGGCUUCUUUGUCAAAAAAUCAAGUAUCCGGAGUUGUGUGGGUUUAUUUCUGGGUCUUCUGUUGGGUUCCAUUGAUCCUCCACCCUGUUUCUGUGCCAGGACCAUGCGGUCUCUGUUACUGUUGCUCUAGUCCAGCUUGAGAGCAGGGAUGGAGACACGAUCCUCCAGGCGAUCUGUUGUGGCACAGGAUGCUCCGCUGUGUAAAUGUUCCGAGUUUCCUUCAUCCAUCCGUUCUCCAGCUGAGGGACAUCCGGGUCGUUCCCGGGUCCUGGCUGGUGUGGAUAAAGCUGCUGUGAACAUAGCCCAGUCAUGUGUGCUCCUGGGGCGGGAUGGGUCACCUUUGGGACGUCUGCCCAGGCGGGGGGAAGCUGGGUCUCGGGGUCAGUCUAUGGCCGGGUUCGGUGACUUCCGUCGUGGCUGUAGCAGCUUGCACAGCCAGCAGCCCUGGAGGCCUGUUGCCCUGCCUCCACCUCCUGGCCAGCCUAGCUGCCACCUCUGUUACUGUCCUCAGCCCUCCUGACGUGUGCAAGACGGGAUCAAAAGGUAGUUUUAAUCCGCCAUCUUGAUGGCCAAGGCUGGUGAGCAUUUCUUUAUAUAUUUUUUAAUUUUUAUUUUUAUUAAUUACACUUUAGUCGCUUUGUAUUCCCCCCCCAUGAACUCCCUCCUCCUCCCCUCCCAGUCCCUCCCUCCUUCCCCCUUCUUCACACAUGCCCCUCCCCAAGUCCACUGGUAAGGGAGGUCCCCUCUGCUUCCUUCUGAUCUUAGUCUAUCAGGUCUCUUCAGGAGUGGCUGCAUUGUCCUCUUCUGUGGCCUGGUAAGGUGCUCCCCCUCAGGGGGAGGUGAUCAAAGAGCAGGCCAGUCAGUUCAUGUCAGAGACAGUCCCUGUCCCCAUUACUAUGGGACCCACUUGGACACUGAGCUGCCAUGGGCUACGUCUGUGCAGGGGUUCUAGGUUAUCUCCAUGCCUGGUCCUUGGUUGGAGUGUGAGUCUCAGGGAAGACCCCUGUGUUCAAUUUUGGAUCUGUUGCUCUCCUCGUGGAGCUCCUGUCCUCUCCAGGGCUUUCCAUCUCCCCCUUCUUUCAUCUGAUUCCCUGCAGGUAAAUGGCGGGAACCGGAAAAGAUCAUCCUGAGCGAGGAACAGAAAGACACACGGGGUACAUACUCCCUCAUGAGCGGAUGUUAGACACAUAAUACAGGAUAAACCGACUAAAAUCUACAAACUAAAGGAAGCUAAUGGGGAAGGAGGACUCUGGCUAAGGUGCUCAGUCCCCACUCAGAAAGGCAAAGAGGAUGGACAUCAGGAGAGGGAGAAGACAGGGGACAGGACGGGACCGGCCACAGAGGGCCUCUGAAAGGCUCUACCCUGCAGGGUGUCAGAGCAUCGGCUACUGUGGGAGAGAACAUGAGAUCGAAGACCACCGCCAGCGUUCCAGAAGACACGGGAGGCGUGGGAGAACAGCACCUGCUGGAGAGAAGCCGUACGUGUGUAAUUGUAAUGACAAAGCCUUUGCGUUCCACGGCCGUCUGCAGAUGCACGAGAGGACGCACACGGGGGAGAAGCCCUACCGGUGUCACCAGUGUGGCAAGGCCUUUGCACGCCCCGGAGAGACCCUACAAACUGAUCCAAGCAGGAAUGAGAAGAGGGAUAUGAAAACAGACUCCGGAGAGAGCUGAGGAAUCGGCACGUCAUACCACAAACAUGGGAGGAUCUGAAGGAGAUGGAUGCUUUUCUUGAUGGAGACCACUCACCCGUAGCUACGUCGAGAACGGGUUAACAGUUUAUAGACCCACAGCCCCUAAGGAUGGAGAAGUCGUCAUCAGAAAAGUCAUCAAAAGAGCCCUGGGCCAGAUGGUUUCAGCGCAGAAUUCUACCAGACCUUCAAAGAAGAGCUAACGCCAAUACUCCUCAAACUAGUCCACGAACCAGAAACAGAAGGAAUGCUGCCGAGCUCAUUCUACCGGGCCACAGUCACCCCGAUACCUAAACCACACCGAGCCCCAACGCAGAGAGGGAAUUUCAGGCCAAUCUCCCUUGUGAACAUUUAUGCAAAAAUACUCCAUUGAGUUUGCAAGCCGAAUCUAGGAAGACAUCAAGAAUAUCAUCCACCGUGAGUCAAUUAGGCUUCAGCGCAGGCAUGCAGGGCUGGUUCAACAGAGGAAGAUCCAUCCACAUAAUCCACCAUAUAGACAACUGAAAGGAAAACAGACACACACACACACACACACACACACACACGAUCAUCUCCCUAGAUGCUGAAAGGCCUUUGACCAAAUCCAACAACCUUCGUGUUUUAAAGUCCUGGAGAGAUCGGGGAUAAAAAGAACAUACCUGAACGCACAAUAAAGGCGAUAUCCAGCAAGCCAAGAGCCAACAUUACGUGGAGAGAGACUUAAGCCAACCGCACUGAAAUCGGGGUCAAGACAAGGCUGCCCUCUCUCACCACGUCUCUUCAAUACAGUACUUGAAGCGCUAGCGAAAGCAAUAAGACAGGAAAAGAGGAGCAAUUAAAGAAAGAGCAGUGGAGAUACAAGUUGGAAUGGAAGAAGUCAAAGUAUCGGUGUUCGCCGAUGAUCUGACAGUAUACACGAGCGACCCCUUGAGAGCCCACCAGGGACCUCGUACCUUCAGCAAAGUGUCUGGAUACAAAAUUAACUCAAAAAAAAAAAAAAAAGUCAGUAGCCUCCUGUAUAGAGCGACAAAAGGGCUGAGAAAGAAAUCAGGGAGACGACGCCCUUCACCACAGCCACAGGGGACGUCAAGUAUCUCUGUGCGUCUCAAACCAAGCAAGUGAAAGACCCGUGUGACAAGAACUUCCAGCCUUUAAAGAGAGAAAUUGAAGACAUAAGAAGAUGGAAAGAUCCCCCGUGCGAAAAGCCAUCCACAGAGGUGAGGUGGUUCCCAUCCAAAUGCCAACGCACCGUUUUACACACCCGGAAAGAGCAACCACGAACUUCCUUUGGAAAAAGAAAGAGACCCAGGGUAGCCGAAACGGUUCCACACAAUAAACUGGCAUAGGAACAGGCCGGUGGAUCGGCGGAACCGAACUGAAGACCCAGAAAUAAACCCACACCUGAUUAUCAUCGACAAAGAAACCAAAUACAAGGCAGAAAAGACAGCAUCUUCAGCAAACGGUGCUGGGCCUGACUGGAUGUCUGCAUGCAGAAAGAUGCAAAUAGAUCCGUAUUGAUCACCCGUAAAGUCCAAGUGGAUCAAGGACAGACUGGGAAAGGGUCCUCGCCAACCCUGUAUCUGACAGAGGACUCAUAUCCAGCAUAUAUAAAGAACUCAAGAAGUUAAACAGCAAGAAAUCAAGUAAUCCCGUUAAAACAUGGGGCACGGAGCUUAAGCAGAGAAUUCGCAACAGAGGACUAUGGGAUGGCAGAGAAGCGCUUGAAGAAAUGCUCAUCCUCAUUAGCCAUCAGGGAGAUGCAAAUCAAAACGACCCUGAGGUUUCACCUUACACCCAUGAGAAUGGCCAAGAUGAAAAACUCAAGCGACAGCACAUGCUGGAGAGGUUGUGGAGAAAGGGGAACCCGCCUCCACUGCUGGUGGGAAUGGAAACUGGUACAACCACUCUGGAAAUCAAUCUGGCGCUUCCUCAGACAGCUAGGAAUAGCAUUUCCUCGAGAUCCGGCCAUACCCCUCCUAGGCAUAGAUCCAAAAGAGGCUCAAGUACACAACAAGGACGUUUGUUCAACCAUGUUCGUAGCAGCUUUAUUGGUAAUAGCCAGAAGCUGGAAACAACCCAGAUGUCCCUCAACGGAGGAAUGGAUACAGAAAUUGUGGUACAUCUACACAAUGGAAUAUUACUCAGCCAUGAAAAACGAGGAAAUCCUGAAAUCCUCGGGCAGACGGUGGGACCUGGGAAAGAUCAUCCUGAGUGAGGUGUCCUGGGAGCAGAAAGACACACAAAGACGUACUCACUCAUAUUAGAACUAUGAUGCAGGAUAAACACGCUACAAUCCACAGACCCCGAAGAAGCCGAGUAGCAAGGAAGGCCCAGGGGAGGGAACUGGGCAGGAGAUGGGGUGGGGAGGAAACCGAUGGGGGGAGAACAGGGUCGGAGGUGAGAGGGAGGGGGCAAGAAGGGGAACCGGGGAGGGGGGAAUUCUCUUUGUCAAGCUGGAGGCCUGUGAUGGGAAAACAUGGAGCACGCAGUGGCCAUCUCCUAGCCAGGCAGGCAGGGCUAGUGGACGGAUAUUUAAUGUGAGUCCCCUGACGAGUGGGGAGGAGGGGCUUCCCCUUUUUUGGGGGGGAGAGAAAAGGAGAGAGGAAGGGGUGGGGGUGGGGGUGGGAGGAAAAGAGGGAGGAAGUUGGUGAGGACGGGGGAGGAAUUUACAGAUGGAAAAAAUUCAUUUUUUUUUCUUUUCUUUUUUCUUUUAUUAUUUUAUUGUUAUUAUUAUUAUUAUUAUUAUUAUUAUUUUACUUUAUUAUUUUUUUAUUUUAUGUUAUUUUAUUUCGGAAGGAGUUCACUUUAAUAAACCCUUGGUUUUAUUGGC